ACACGACUACAUUAGAUACCCGGGUAGUCCUAGCCGUAAACGAUACUCGCUAGGUGUCGGCCACGGUGCGACCGUUGUCGGUGCCGUAGGGAAGCCGUGAAGCGAGCCACCUGGGAAGUACGGCCGCAAGGCUGAAACUUAAAGGAAUUGGCGGGGAGCACCACAACGGGUGGAGCCUGCGGUUUAAUUGGACUCAACGCCGGGAAGCUCACCGGAUAAGACAGCGGAAUGAUUGCCGAGCUGAAGACCCUGCAUGACCAGCUG
rnacentral:rRNA from 1 species